CUCACCGCGACCUCGGUGGCGAGCGGCCGCCUCUGAGGGUGGGAAGCGGCCCGCCUUGGGGAGCUCGGGUCCGCUCCCUCUCCGUCCCUUGGAUGCGUUUCGUCUGGUCCUCGGCCUUGCCGCGCUCGCUGCUCUGCAGGGUUGUAUUUUAGCUGAAGAGAAGUCGGAGGGGAAGCUGUCAUGUUUUCCUCCGCUUCUUCCAGGGGAACCGGUUUUGUCAAAUUGAGCGUUCUUGAUACAGGACAGUAACUGUAAAGUUAGCACCUCCUUCCUGCAUGAGGAGGCCUUUCCCACCGCAGCCCAUCUCCGUACGGGCAGGGAUGAGCGCUUGUUCUUCUGCGUGGAGGGUGUGCGUGUGCGUGUGCGUGUGCACCUGCACACGCGUUGUUCCUGGGGGCUGUAGGUACCUGAGGGGCUUUCCCACGUACGUGGAUUUGGUUGAAUCAUGAUAUCGAGUGGCAUUUUAGAAUUUGUCCAAAUUUCCUUUACCCCUUUUUUCCCUUCACCGCCCUGUAGGGAGCUAGAGAUGUUGCAAAGGUAAAGCAGAAUGGGGACCGAUCCGUUGACUUUUGUUUGGGAGAGUCUUCUCAUUUAAGCCGAAGCAAAUUUGUGGAAACGAGGAAAGAGGAUAGAAACAUUUUUUUCUCUACAAAGAUUCCAUAACAUUUAAUUUCCUGCCACAGUUUCUAACAAUAAGGUGAGAGUUUUCUUUUGAUCUUACUCUCUACAUUUUGAGUGAGGAAUAAAUUUGUCAUGUUAUUUUAGCUGCGUGAGAAGGAAGCGCAGUUUAGUAACCAUCAUUCGAGGAAAAUAUUGAGUUUCUCUUAAGUGCUUUACAGUCCUGAACAAAAUACACAGGACUCCUAACCUUUUGGAGUUUGAGAUGCUGUCAGCAUUCUAGAAGGGUGAUGAAAGAGAUAUUACAAUGAUAAAGGUAAAUGGGAUCUGAAAGAGGAAUGUAAUUUUAAGAUAUACAGAAAGGUGUAGUGGAGAUUACAAAGCCUUCAUUUUAAUUGUAUUAUUAAUAAUAUGUGUCUUAAUAUAUAAUAAUUAUAUAUUUAUUAUUACUAAUAGAAUGUGGUCCUUUAUCAUGGUUUUUGUGUACAAAGGUACUUAGAGAAGUUCACAACCCUAAAGAUACCCAUCAGUUGAAGAAACAAAAGCUUUAAAACCUCAUAUAUUUCUGUGAGUUAACAAUUCUGCUAAUGUCAUUUUGAUCUCUGUGGUUGUGAUGUGAGUGUGUAUGAUUUUUAAAUUUUAUAAGCAUAGUGAAUGGGAGAUCGGGAUAACUUUUACCUGAUAUAAAUUACCUUUAAGAAAAUAUGAAUGAUUUUAAUGAUACCAAUUUUGUUAGACGUUCAGAGCUUGUAACGUGAUUGUGUAAGUGCAAACACUUCAUGUUGAAGUUAGUCUGUAAUAAGGAAAAUGCAGCGUGACAGUUAAAGGGUCUUUGGCUCUUGAUGACUUAGGUUCAGGUCUUGGUUCUGCCGUUUACCGUUUGUGUAACCUUGAACAAGUUAUUUAGUUCGUCUCAUUCUCAGUUUCUUCAUCUUUAAUAUGGGAUGAAAAUACUUAGUUACACAAUUGUUAGAAAGAUUAAAGGUGCUUAGUAAAGGGGAACUAUAUUAACUAUACCCUGGCUAUAAUGAAAAAUGGAUUCAUUGAAAUGCUAUUGAACUUUCCGUUAUGGCUUUACACUGCAAAGAAGUUGAUUGUUGCUGGGGGUUUUGUUUUAAAUUACCAUGAAAGAUUUAACGACAUUUGAAAUAGAAAAAUGAUGAGUUAAAUUUUAUUAGAGUGAGAGUAUUUUGACUGACACCACAGAUUCUUUCAGGCAGGGUACGAGAAAUUCAUUUCUUUUUUAAAGAAAUGGAAUCUAGUUCAUCAGACUACUAUAAUAAAGACAAUGAAGAAGAAAGUUUGCGUGCAAAUGUUGCUUCCUUAAGACAUGAACUGAAGAUAACAGAAUGGAGCUUACAGAGUUUAGGAGAAGAGUUAUCCAGUGUUAGUCCAAGUGAAAAUUCGGAUUAUGCCUCUAAUCUCUCAAGGUGUGAAAGGCUUAUUCUGGAAGAUCUUUCUCAGCCUAGCCAGCUUGGACUUUUGAAUUACUCACCUUAUAAAAAAAUUUGUAAGAUGCCCAAUGGGGGUACUGAUUUUCAAAAAAAGCCAAGAGAUAAGAUGUCUUUUUCAUCUUCUGCCUCUGUGGAUCAGGAGAUCAAAAGUCUUCGAGAGAAACUUAAUAAACUUAGGCAACAGAAUGCUUGUUUGGUCUCACAGAAUCAUUCUUUAAUGACUAAAAUAGAAUCUGUUCACUUUGAAUUAACUCAGUCAAGAGCAAAAGUUUCUAUGCUUGAAUCUGCUGAACAACAGGCAGCCAAUGUGCCAAUCUUAGAAGAACAGAUUAUAAAUUUGGAAGCAGAAGUUUCAGCCCAAGAUAAAGUUUUGAGAGAGGCAGAAGAUAAAUUGGAGCAGAGUCAGAAAAUGGUGAUUGAAAAGGAACAGAGUUUGCAGAAAUCCCAACAGGAAUGUAUAAAGUUGAAGGUAGACUUACUUGAACAAAGUAAACAAGGAAAGAGAGCUGAACGACAAAGGAAUGAAGCUCUAUAUAAUGCUGAAGAGCUGAGUAAAGCUUUCCAACAUUAUAAAGAAAAAGUGGCUGAGAAACUAGAAAAGGUUCAAGCUGAAGAAGAAAUAUUAGAGAAAAAUCUAAUUAACUGUGAAAAAGAAAAUAAAAGGCUACAGGAAAAGUGUGGUCUAUAUAAAAGUGAACUUGAAAUUCUGAAAGAGAAAUUAAGGCAGUUGAAAGAAGAAAGUAAUAAUGGAAAAGAAAAAUUAAGGAUCAUGGCAGUGAAAAAUUCCGAAGUCAUGGCGCAACUAACUGAAUCUAGACAAAAUAUUCUGAAGCUAGAGAGUGAGUUAGAGGACAAGGAUGAAGUACUUAGAGAAAAAUUUUCUCUAAUGAAUGAAAAUCGAGAAUUAAAGGUUCGUAUUGCAACACAGAAUGAGCGACUGGAUUUGUGUCAGCAAGAGAUAGAAAGUUCAAGGGUGGAACUGAGAAGUUUGGAAAAAAUUAUGUCCCAGAUGCCAUUAAAAAGAGAAAUGUUUGGUUUUAAAUCAUCUCUUUCUAAGCAUCAGAUGAGUAUUUUGUCAGACAAGGAAGACAGUUACAUUGGCUGCUGUGAGACGAAUAAAAUGGUGAUUUCAGAAUUGAGGAUUAAGCUUGCAAUAAAAGAGGCAGAAAUUCAAAAGCUUCAUGCAAACCUGACUGCAAAUCAGUUAUCUCACAGUCUUUUUGCUUAUAAUGACAACCAAGAAAGUGGCAAAUUAAAUAGUUUAGAAACAGAACCUGUAAAACUAGGCGGUAAUCAAGUAGAAAGUAUAAAAGAUAAAAAUCAACAUACUGUGAACAAGCAAUAUGAAAGAGAAAGGCAAAGACUUGCUUCUGGAAUAGAAGAAUUACGUGAUAAGUUGAUGCAAAUAGAAGCUGAAAAUUCUGAUUUGAAGGUUAACAUGGCCCACAGAACUAGUCAGUUUCAGCUGAUUCAAGAGGAGCUGCUAGAGAAGGCUUCAAACUCUAGCAAACUUGAAAGUGAAAUGACAAAGAAAUGUUCUCAGCUUUUAACUCUAGAGAAACAGCUGGAAGAAAAAAUUGUUGCUUAUUCCUCUAUUGCUGCAAAAAAUGCAGAACUAGAACAGGAACUUAUGGAAAAAAAUGAAAAGAUUAGAAGUCUAGAAACCAAUAUCAAUACAGAACAUGAGAAAAUUUGUUUAGCUUUUGAAAAGGCAAAGAAAAUUCAUCUUGACCAGCAUAAAGAGAUGGAAAAGCAGAUUGAAAAACUUGAAUCUCAACUAGAGAAUAAAGAACAACAAUUUAAAGAACAAGAAAAGACUAUAUCCAUGUUGCAGCAAGAUAUAAUAUGUAAACAACAUCAUCUUGAAUCAUUAGACAGACUCCUGACAGAAAGCAAAGGGGAAAUGGAAAAGGAAAAUAUGAAGAAAGAUGAAGCUUUGAAAGCAUUACAGAACCAAGUAUCUGAAGAAACAAUCAAGGUCAGACAACUAGACUCAGCAUUGGAAAUUUGUAAGGAAGAACUUGCUUUGCAUUUAAACCAGUUGGAAGGAAAUAAGGAAAAGUUUGAAAAACAACUUAAGAAGAAAUCUGAAGAGGUAUAUUGUUUACAGAAGGAGCUGAAGAUUAAAAAUCACAGUCUUCAAGAGACUACUGAGCAAAAUGUUAUUCUGCAGCAUACUCUUCACCAGCAGCAGCAGAUGUUACAACAAGAGACAAUUAGAAAUGGAGAGCUCGAAGACACUCAGACUAAACUUGAAAAACAGGUAUCGAAACUGGAACAAGAGCUUCAAAAACAAAGGGAAAAUUCAGCUGAAAAGUUGAGAAAAAUGGAGGAGAAAUGUGAAGCAGCCACAUAUGAAGCAGAUUUGAAAAGGCAAAAAGUUAUUGAGCUUACUGGUACUGCCAGGCAAGUAAAACUUGAGAUGGAUCAGUACAAAGAAGAGCUGUGUAAAAUGGAAAAGGAAAUAAUGCACCUAAAACGGGAUGGAGAAAAUAAAGCAAUGCAUCUCUCUCAGUUAGACAUGAUAUUAGAGCAGACAAAGACCGAACUAGAUAAGAAAACAAAUGCUGUGAAAGAGUUAGAAAAGUUACAGCACUGCACUGAAACUGAACUAGCAGAAGCCUUGCAGAAACGGGAGGCACUAGAGGCUGAACUACAAAAUGCUCAUGGAGAGUUAAAAAGUACUUUAAGACAACUCCAGGAACUGAGAGAUGUGCUACAGAAGGCUCAGUUAUCAUUAGAGGAAAAGUAUACUGCUGUAAAGGAUCUCACAGCUGAAGUCAGGGAAUGCAGAAUGGAGAUUGAAGACAAAAAGCAAGAACUCCUUGAAAUGGAUCAGGCACUUAAAGAGAGAAAUUGGGAGCUAAAGCAAAGAGCAGCUCAGGUUACACAUUUGGAUAUGACUAUUCGUGAGCACAGGGGAGAAAUGGAACAGAAAAUAAUUAAAUUAGAAGGUACUCUGGAGAAAUCAGAAUUGGAGCUUAAAGAAAGCAACAAACAGAUAGAAAGUUUGAAUGAAAAAUUGAAAAAUGCCAAAGAACAGCUUCGAGAAAAAGAGUUUAUAACACUGCAGAAUGAACAGGAGAUAAGUCAACUGAAGAAAGAGACUGAACGGACACAACAAAAGAUGAAUGAAAUGGAAAGCGUUAUGAAAGAGCAGGAACAGUACAUUGCAACUCAGUACAAGGAGGCUGUAGAUACAGAGCAGGAAUUGAGGCUCACUCGGGAGCAGUUGCACAAUUCUCAUACAGAAUUGGUAGAGGCUCGUCGUCAGCAAGUCCAAGCACAGAGAGAAAUAGAAAGGCUCUCAAGUGAACUGGAGGAAAUAAAGCAACUCUCUAAAGAAAAAGAAGCUCAUGGAAACCAUUUAGCUGAAGAAUUGGGAGCUUCUCAAGUCCGUGAAGCUCAUUUAGAAGCAAGAAUGCAAGCAGAAAUCAAGAAAUUGUCAGCAGAAAUAGAAUCUCUCAAAGAAGCUUAUCAUCUAGAGAUGAUUUCACAUCAGGAGAACCAUGCAAAGUGGAAGAUUUCUGCUGACUCUCAAAAGACUUCUGUUCAGCAACUAAAUGAACAGUUAGAGAAGGCAAAACUAGAAUUAGAAGAAGCUCAGGACACUGUAAGCAAUUUGCAUCAACAAGUCCAAGACAGGAAUGAAGUAAUUGAAGCUACAAAUGAAGCAUUACUUAUAAAAACUAUUAUGAAUAAUGCUGCGACGAACACAGGAGUGCAGGAAUCAGAAUUAACCAGAUUACAAGCCAAAAUUUCUGGUCAUGAAAGGACAGAAGACAUCAAAUUUCUACCAGCCCCAUUUACAUCUCCCAUGGAAGUUAUGCCUGAUACUGAAGAUCCAAAAUUUGCUAAACAUUCUCACACAACUUUUUUCAAGUGUAGAAAACUACGUCGCUCUAUUAGCGCGAGUGACCUUAGUUUCAGAACUCAUGGUGAUGAAGACCUUUCUGAAGAAUUGUUGCAGGACUUAAAAAAAAUGCAAUUGGAACAACCUUCAACAUUAGAAGAAAGCCAGAAGAAUCUGACUUAUACCCAGUCAGACUCAUUUAAACCUCUCGCAUAUGACCUAGAAGAUGAUAGUUCUGAGAAUAAUGACUUCAGUACACUUAGUGGAAUGCUGAGAUACAUAAACAAAGAAGUGAGACUAUUAAAAAAGUCUUCUAUGCAAGCAGGUGCUGGUCCAACUCAGGGAGAAAAUUUAUGAUUAAAAGAAGAUGCUGAUGUGAUGAAAAAUGGGAUUUUUGAGAACAGUCCAUACUAAGAAGUUUCACUGAGACUUGGUGGAACAAGGCUCAUCUGUGAAAUGACAGCAGUGGGUGAUCACUGGGUCACUGUUCAGGAACAGCUGUACAAAGGUCUUUUCCUCAAAAGUGCAUUUUAGGAUCCACAUGCAUGGAAUCUAAGCAGCCACUAGAGGGCGCCAGCCACUUACCAAUGACUGCGUAACAGGUUCCCCCUCCUUCCCAUUUCUGAACUAUUUCUAAAUCAGAAACGUCAAGUUUUCUUGGUAAAAGCCUCAGUUGAUAUGUUUAUAUUCUCUGUCUUUUGUGAUUUGUGUUGAUACAUAAACAUGAAAGCAGAGAUAUGGCCACACUUUUCUCCCCAGCAUAAAAACAGCUUCUGUGUUCCUUGCUACAGGGCAAAAUGACUGGUUCAGAGUUACAGCUUUCUCGACUUUCCUUUGCCUGACCCUCUGCGGUGUUUUAUUUUUCCCCUCAGCUGUGAAGUUUAUCAUAUACUUUUAUUGUUCAGCAGAAUGUCUGUAAUGAUACUGAGUGACUUUAAAAGUGGUCAGGUUUCUUUCCUCCCCAUUUCUGUUUUUCUACCUUCCCUCUCCUCCUCUCGUAUAGUCCCAAGCAUGUUUUCUUCUUUCUUUUACAUUUUUCAAAUAUUUUACUUCUGAAAGCAAUGCUACAAGAAAGGGGGAGGUCAUGCUGUACAAAACUAGGGGUAUGAGAAGGCUGAUGUGGGAGUAGAGUGGAGCGGGAAGCUGCCUGCUUGGUAUAAACUUCCUUGGGCUGGGCUUCCAUGGCAGGCGCGGGUGAGUGUGGUCCCUCAUCAUCCAGACAGAAAAGAAUCUUCCCAAGUCUUUCUAGAGGAGAAGAGGAAGCAAGAUGAGUGGCCCUGAAGCAUCUGGGAAUGUAGUUCACAGUAACGCAGUGUUAGCUGAAUAAGGCAAAGUCCAUUACUGUUGUAGACAAAAGAUCAGAGUCCGUAAACUCAAGCAGAGAGAAGAGCUACCACAUUAUUGAGACCAAAAAUCCACUUAAAUUAGUUUUCAUUCUUGAAAUAGUGGCAUAAAGAAAGUUUUGUGGGAGUGCAUAACUGCACAUCGUGACUCCCUCAGAAUGCCCCGAAAGUGUCCGUUGUCUUUAUAAUCCACUACAGCUUUUCAUCCCUGAAGUAUCUGAACUAAAGACUCACCUAAAAGGUGAGUCUUCUAUUUCAGCUUAUAAACCCUCUUGGGAUUAGAAGCUCCUCGUGCUCAUAGUCAUUUAUUUAUUUUAAAAAACAUUACUGUGCACUUACUUUGUGCCAGGCACUGCUUUAUAUACGACCUGAGAAUACAAAGGUGAAAAGACAGAAUUCCCUCACCCCUGAAGAGAUUAGCAGAGUGGGAAAGGUGGCCUUGUAAAUAACGUGUAAAUAGUAAUCUUGUCCCAAAUAAACUUUUGUAAGGAUGCUUCCUCUAAUAUUCUAGAACUUACAGAACAUAUUCAAGUAGACACUAUACCACUUGUAAGCCAAAGUACUCUACAAAUGCAUCACUCUCAUUAUAAAAUGUAGUUUUUAGUGCAUAAAACAGUGCUUCCUUUCCUUUCUGAUCCUUACCGUCAGUCACUUUGGAAUAUGCCUGCAAUGUGCCAGGCACUGGGCUAGGAUACAAACAUGAAAAUGACAUCGCCUCUGACUCUCCAAGUUGCUUAUCUUACAUCUCCUCUCCCCUCAAACCUCCGGCACUUCAUCUUCCCUCAACUGGCGCUCUCACUUUGCACUUCGCGGAAGGAACAGAAGCCAUCAGGCAAUAAUCACCUCAUCUUCUCACCAUCAGGUGUGCCAACAAGCCUCACUCUGAACACGUGCACUCCCUCCUUGCACGAUGAAGAAGCACACCCUGCCUUCUCUCGCGCGCUGGGUCGCGUGUCUGUCUAGUUGAAGAUUUCAUUCCUGCCACAAUCUGCCCUCUUUCCUGCACCAUGCCUUAGUAUUGUCCUUAAGUAAACUCUGCCUGGGGUCCGCAGCCUCGCCAGCUUCUGUCCUCUGUCUCAGCACCUUUCCCGGUGAAACUCGCCAACCGUUGCUUGUUCUUGCUUCCUCCACUUUCUCACUUCCCUUCCUGUGUUCAGCCCACUCCACUCAGAUGUUCAUCGCAUUUGGUGACAUGACCCUGUCAGAUCUGCCACCAGUGACUUCAUCUUGCCGAACACAGUAUCAGUUCUCAGCCCUCUCUAAUUUGACUUCUCUGCAGGGGCAGAGAUGAUCACUUCCUCCUAUUUAAAACACGUUCUACUGUUGGCUUCCAUUACCACGACCCUCAGGUUUUCUCCUGUGUCGCCGGAGUUGCCUCUGGGUCACGUCUUCCUUUACUCCACCUAAUACUCUGACUGUUAAAGGGCCCCAGCUCUCUGUUCUAGGGCCUCUUCUCUUCUGCACUUAAACCCCAUAGGUAAUUACAUCCAGUCUCACUGCUUUAAGUACAGCCUGUGAGGUGAGGGAUUGCACAGUUGUGUGUCCAACUCUAUUCUCUCCCAGACCUCCACACUUGAGUAUCCAGCUGCCUUCUUACAUCUCCACUUACGUCUCUUAGCAUAUCUGAAAUAUGACAAGACCAAGACAGAAUUAUUGGUCUCCCUCCAGAAUUUUUCCCUAUCCCAGUCUUCUCCAUCUUGUCCCCACUCACCCAGUGCUGCUUCCCACCACCCCAUCCAGUCCGUCAGCAAGUCUGGUUAGCCCUCGCUGCCAAGUGGAAACUGGAUCGAACGUCUCACCGCCAUGACUGCUCCCACCUGGAUCCCAGCCACCCUCAUCUCUUGCCUGGAUGACUGCAGUGGCCACCUGACCUUUCUCCCAGUCUGCCUUCUUGCCCACCACCAGAGAAGCCAGAGAGACUUUAAAAGAAGAUCGCAUCACUGUCAUACUGAAAACCCUCUGAUAACUUCCUAUUGCCAUUAGAAUAAACUGAAGCUCCCUUCCAGGGCUUCCGAGACCGGCAGAGCUCCCUGGAUCCCUGCUACCACUCUCGCCUUGUUCACUGCGCUCUGGCCACGUGCCUGCCUCAGAGCCCUCACUUAAUACCAAAUGCAUUUCUGUCUCAAGCUUUCGGUCUUACUGUUCCCCAUGCCUGGAACACUCUUCCCACAGAUCUCUUCCCGUGGCUGACUCCUCGUCAGUCACCUCCCGGAGUUGUCAGUGUAAAUGCUGUCUCCUCAGGUCCCCUCACCGUUCUAUCCAAAGUGUUCUGUCCACCCACUGCCUACCCCGCAAACGUCAUUCUAUACCCAUCGCCCUGUUUUGUUUUUUCAUCACCUGAAAGUAUUCAUUGUCUCUCUCCUCACCAGAAUGGAAGGUAACAGACAGGUUUCUCAUGUUUUUUACUCUCUGCUGUAUCUCCAGUGUCUGGCAUAUAGAGAUACUUAAUAACCAAUUAUUAAAUGAGUGAAAAAUUGAAUGAAUGAAUGAAUGAGAAGACAUGAAAGCUAGUGUAUAACAACCUUCAGGGAUAUGAGCUCUGACGCAGAAAACCAGCCAAGGAAAUGAGCCAUGAAGAUAAGCAGCUGUCUAAUUGCUGGAUACUUUUUAUGUGCCUUGAAAAUGUAAGACUGCAUUUUUAUUAUUCAGAUACGGAAUGUUUAAAGAUAGUUAAACUAAACAGCUUUCAUAUAGGAAAUCAUCCCUUGCCACGUUUCAGCUCCAUGUGAUUCUUCCAAAUUAGGGCCGCAUUUCUCAUCCCCUUUUCAGGUUUAUACAACACACUCUUCACAGAAACAGUAGCAAAUGAAUAGCUAGGAUUGUCUGUAUCUUUGAGAUGCUACAGUUAAAUGAUGUUUUGGACUUUGUUAAAUGCAGGACAAUUGCUUUUAGGACGUCUGUGAAAUACUCUGUCACCUCAGAAUUAGUAAGUGUAUUUGAAGUACGUUAUCAAGGAGCAUCAUGUAUUGUGAUCUUAGGUCUUCCUUUAUUUCUCAGUCAGGCUCGUUGAGGAAUAAUUUACCUACAGUAACAUUCACCCCCUUAACAUAUACAGUUCUGUGAAUUUCGACGACAGUAUCCCGUCAUGUAAUCACGACCACAAUCAAGACACAGAACAUUUCUAUUGUCUCAAAGUUUCCUCAUGCAUCUCUGUAACCCGCCACCUUCCCCACCCCCUGACUACCACUGAUUUGUAUAGUUUUGUCCAGAAUCACAUAGCAUGUGUCCUUUUGAUUUUUUGAUAAUGCUUUUGAUGUUCGUCUGUGUUGUUACACGCAUCAGUGGCUUGUUCCUUUUCAUUGCCGAGUGGUAUUUCAUUAUGUGACUGGACUGGACUGUUCCUUUCUAGGAUAACUUCAUUUUAAAGUAUUAUAUCCUGAAAUAUGGUUUUCUGGAAGACAUUUUGGGUUUGCUAAAUAAACAUUUAUUGAG